CAAAAACAUGGCUCCUUGAAACCUAAUAAUAAGGAGUCGGACCUGCCCAGUGAAUUUUUUUAACGGCCGCGGUACUCUGACCGUGCAAAGGUAGCAUAAUCAUUUGCCUUAUAAUUGAAGGCUAGUAUGAAUGGUUUGACAAGAAUGUAGCUGUCUCUUUACGAUUCAAUAGAAUUUUAUUUUUAGGUGAAGAAGCCUAUAUAAAAUUAAAAGACAAGAAGACCCUAUCGAGCUUAUAAAUAAUUUAAUAAGAACUUAAAUUAAUAAAAUUAAAAAAUUAGCUAUAAAAAAUUUUAGUUGGGGCGACUGAGGAACAUAAAAAGCUUCCUUUCAAUAUUACUUAAAUGAAACCAAAAUUGAUCCAGAAUAUUCUGAUUAAAGGAAUUAGUUACCGUAGGGAUAACAGCAUUAUCUUUUUCAAGAGCUCAUAUCGAAAAAAAGGUUUGUGACCUCGAUGUUGGACCAGAAUAUCCUAAAGAUGCAGCAGUCUUUAAGGGUUGGUCUGUUCGACCAUUAAAAUUCUACCUGA
rnacentral:rRNA from 1 species